GUUUAGAGACCGGAUUACGUAUGUACAUAUAACAUUUAUUUAACUCUCACUCUUUAAUACGACUCUUGGGCUGACCAAAGUUAUUAAAAAUUGGAUAUGUUGCACAGAUGGACUUGGUAAACCCAGGUGGUGGGUUGUAAAAGUGGACUUUGUCCUACCGGACAAAGUUCAGACUUUUACUUUUACACGUGAAAAGACAAGUUCAUUGAAUCAUAAUCUGCACCAAGGGUGAAUUGUAGUUCUUAAUUUCUUUGUAUAUAUCAGAUGGUCAGUAAAAUUUAUCUGGGCGAUUCACUCCGAUUUUUGCGAUCCAAUCAACUCUGUACUUAUAAUCCACAAGCUAAAAAUGUGGGUAUAAGUUUACAAUGACGACGAUGACAAAAUCUAAGGUUGUAAAUUUAUUUCGUAUCGAAGAUGCUCUAUUUUAUCCAAGUUUGCAAAAUAUAGUUUUGCAUUUAUAAAUUAAUUGUCCAAUUUAAUAUGGAUUCCAUACACUCUUAGAAACUGGGUAUUGAUCUUUGAAAAACUUUAAUACCAUCGUGCUGGUAUCAUUACACAUUCACGAUUGGGUAUUAAAAUAUUGCGAAAAAUCAAUACCACGAGCUUGUACGUGCAGAGUGUUAACUUGUAAUACCGAGCUGGUAAAACAUCAAUACUGACCGGUACCGAUUUUAUACCACGUUUACGCAGUCUCAAAUCUGUCCGGUAUAGACUUGGGCGCGGGAUGUGCAAACUACUCACUUGCAGUUAAUCGUUGUCUUUUUAGAAAUAAGUUCUUCUAAAUUAGUUCGGCUGGGGAAUUACUUGGGGGGAAGAAAUUGAGUACUUCCGAUGGAAACUUUUAAAGGCAAGUUCAUCGACUUAUCCAAUUCCUUGUUCCGGUCGUGAAUAUAGGAUUGAGGAUAAUUUUAGUGGCAGAUUUCUUAUCGAAUCAGGAGAUCCAGUCAGCUCAGCUCAACUCUUCCACAUUAUUAUGUAUGUACAAGCUUUUAAAAUUAACUUAUUCCACUAUCUUGUAUAUGGUUGAUUUCCAUUUUUUGUAAAUGUUUAUGUAUGUAUGUCAUUUAUAAUUUUCUGACUUGUAAAUUACAAGUUGUAAUUGGAUAAAAUAAAUAACAUUUAAAUCAA